GACAGAGGUGCCAAGCGUUAGGCGGAAUCACUGGGCUUAAAGCGUGUGUAGGCGGACGCCUAAGUACCUUGUGAAAUCCCCCGGCUCAACCGGGGAACUGCUGGGUAUACUGGGCGUCUUGGGCCAACUAGGGGCUGCCGGAACAAAUGGUGGAGCGGUGAAAUGCGUAGAUAUCGGAAGGAACACCUGUGGCGAAAGCGGCUCACUGGACCAUUACUGACGCUGAGGCACGAAAGCUAGGGGAGCAAACAGG
rnacentral:rRNA from 1 species